rnacentral:rRNA from 1 species
CACGUAGGGCGCAAGCGUUGUCCGGAAUUAUUGGGCGUAAAGCGCGUGUAGGCGGCCUUGCAAGUCGGAUGUGAAAGCCCACGGCUCAACCGUGGAAGUGCAUCCGAAACUGCAUAGCUUGAGUCUCGGAGAGGAAGGUGGAAUGCUUGGUGUAGAGGUGAAAUUCGUAGAUAUCAAGCAGAACACCUGCGGCGAAGGCGGCCUCUGGACGAUGACUGACGCUGAGACGCGAAAGCGUGGGGAGCAAACAGG